AAUAUAAGUCGAGAACCCUAAUUUUACCCUAAAAAACUGGGAAAAACUUAUUGACUUGAGUAUAAGACUGUGUGUAUAUAUAUAUAUAUAUAUAUAUACACACACACACACACACACACACACACUACAUAGCACAAUGACUUAUGGGGCUGGCCAGGUUUUUUUCCAGGGCUGCAUUGUAUCCCCAGUCCGACCCUGUACCCUCCUAUGCUACAAUUCCCUCUGCAGUGUAUGGAAAUAUCUCUGCUGAUGUUAGCAGUGGCAAAAUUUGGAGAAAUCCCUUUUAUAGCAGUCUGGUAGGGUUAGUGUAUUUAGUAUACAAAGACACUCAUUAAUCAGAACAAAUAAAUUAACUGAUUUUUAAAAUAUUUUUCUUUUUAUUUAUGAAUGUAGGCAAAACUUACAUAUGGGUUUAUCUUACAUUUUUUUCAUAAUUCAUUCUGAUUGAAUCACAGCUUCCUGAAAUUCCUGGAAGCAAUCCCCUUAAAUGUGCCAGAAAUACCUAAAUUUUUAGCUAAUGUUCUCAUAAUGUUCUGUAAUGUUUUUAUGAUUUCAUUGUAAAAAUAACUGCCUGUAUGUACUGUAUCCUUUAUGAAAAAUGUAACUAGAUUUAAUAGCACUGCAAGGUGAAAAAUAUAUUUUAAAAAUCAUGUUUUAGAUUAUAGUAAUUUUAGUUUAUAGUAAUAAACCAAAUAAAAAUUAAAUGUUUG